AAAAGUGUUGGGAUGACGUGUGGAUAGCGGUGAAAUUCCAAUCGAACUCGGAUAUAGCUGGUUCUCCUCGAAAUAGCUUUAGGGCUAGCCUCAUAGUAAGAUACGCAGGGGUAGAGCACUGAAUGUUCUAGGGGCCUUCACCGGUUACCGAAAACUAUCAAACUCCGAAUACCGCAGUAUUAUACUUGGGAGUCAGACUACGAGAGAUAAGUUCCGUGGUCAAAAGGGAAACAGCCCAGACCUACAGCUAAGGUCCCCAAAUGUAGAUUAAGUGGAGAAGGAUGUGGAGCUGCAUAGACAACUAGGAUGUUGGCUUAGAAGCAGCCACUCAUUUAAAGAGUGCGUAAUAGCUCACUAGUCGAGAGAUCCUGCGCCGAAAAUGUACCGGGGCUAAACUUACCACCGAAGCUACGGAUUUGCAAGUAAUUGCAAGUGGUAGGGGAGCGUCGUAAUCGGGCUGAAGUCGUACCGGAAGGAGCGGUGGACUGAUUACGAGUGAGAAUGUUGGCAUUAGUAGCGAGAUGUAGGUGAGAAUCCUACAGGCCGAAUAUCUAAGGUUUCCUCAGGAAGGCUCGUCCGCUGAGGGUUAGUCGGGACCUAAGCCGAGGCCGAAAGGCGUAGGCGAUGGACAAUCGGUUGAUAUUCCGAUACCACUACCAUCGUUAUUAUCGAGGGUGUGACGGAGAAGGAUAGUGUGUGCUAGCGAUUGGAAAUGCUAGUCUAAGCGUUUAGGGAGUUACGGUAGGCAAAUCCGCUGUAACAAUUCUGAGGCGUGAUGGGGAAGGUCAUUAAGACCGAAGUACAUGAUUCCAUGCUUCCAAGAAAAGCAUCUAGAGAGAGAAGUAGUGCCCGUACCGCAAACCGACACAGGUAGAUGAGGAGAGAAUCCUAAGGCCGGCGGAAGAAUUGCAGUUAAGGAACUAGGCAAAUUGACCCCGUAAGUUCGCGAGAAGGGGUGCCUGCGAGAGCAGGCCGCAGAGAAUAGGCCCAAGCAACUGUUUAGCAAAAACACAGGUCUCUGCUAAAGCGUAAGCUGAUGUAUAGGGGCUGACGCCUGCCCGGUGCUGGAAGGUUAAGGGGAACACUUAGCGCAAGCGAAGGUGUGAACUUAAGCCCCAGUAAACGGCGGCCGUAACUAUAACGGUCCUAAGGUAGCGAAAUUCCUUGUCAGGUAAGUUCUGACCCGC
rnacentral:rRNA from 1 species